CUCCCAUAGCGUAUAUUAACAGUUGUUGCCGUUCAAAAGCUCGUAGUUGAAUCCUAGGCCUGGUUGGACGGUCUGGCUUUGGUGUGUACUGUGCCUGAGUGGGUCUUACCUUCUGGUGAGCUGUCGUUGUUGUUUACUCAGUGCGGCAGGGAACCAGGACUUUUACUUUGGAAAAAUUAGAGUGU
rnacentral:rRNA from 1 species